AUUGAACGCUGGCGGCAGGCCUAACACAUGCAAGUCGAACGGUAACAGGAAGCAGCUUGCUGCUUUGCUGACGAGUGGCGGACGGGUGAGUAAUGUCUGGGAAACUGCCUGAUGGAGGGGGAUAACUACUGGAAACGGUAGCUAAUACCGCAUAACGUCGCAAGACCAAAGAGGGGGACCUUCGGGCCUCUUGCCAUCGGAUGUGCCCAGAUGGGAUUAGCUAGUAGGUGGGGUAACGGCUCACCUAGGCGACGAUCCCUAGCUGGUCUGAGAGGAUGACCAGCCACACUGGAACUGAGACACGGUCCAGACUCCUACGGGAGGCAGCAGUGGUGAAUAUUGCACAAUGGGCGCAAGCCUGAUGCAGCCAUGCCGCGUGUAUGAAGAAGGCCUUCGGGUUGUAAAGUACUUUCAGCGGGGAGGAAGGGAGUAAAGUUAAUACCUUUGCUCAUUGACGUUACCCGCAGAAGAAGCACCGGCUAACUCCGUG
rnacentral:rRNA from 1 species